GCAGCGCGGGGCAACCUGGCGGCGAGUGGCGAACGGGUGAGUAAUAUAUCGGAACGUACCCAAGAGUGGGGGAUAACGCAGCGAAAGUUGCGCUAAUACCGCAUACGAUCUAUGGAUGAAAGCAGGGGACCGCAAGGCCUUGUGCUCCUGGAGCGGCCGAUAUCUGAUUAGCUAGUUGGUGAGGUAAAGGCUCACCAAGGCGACGAUCAGUAGCUGGUCUGAGAGGACGACCAGCCACACUGGAACUGAGACACGGUCCAGACUCCUACGGGAGGCAGCAGUGGGGAAUUUUGGACAAUGGGCGCAAGCCUGAUCCAGCAAUGCCGCGUGAGUGAAGAAGGCCUUCGGGUUGUAAAGCUCUUUUGUCAGGGAAGAAACGGCUGUGGCUAAUAUCCACGGCUAAUGACGGUACCUGAAGAAUAAGCACCGGCUAACUACGUGCCAGCAGCCGCGGUAAUACGUAGGGUGCAAGCGUUAAUCGGAAUUACUGGGCGUAAAGCGUGCGCAGGCGGUUUUGUAAGUCUGACGUGAAAUCCCCGGGCUUAACCUGGGAAUUGCGUUGGAGACUGCAAGGCUAGAAUCUGGCAGAGGGGGGUAGAAUUCUACGUGUAGCAGUGAAAUGCGUAGAGAUGUGGAGGAACAUUGAUGGCGAAGGCAGUCUCUCUGGGUCAAGAUUGACGCUCAUGCACGAAAGCGUGGGGAGCAAACAGGAUUAGAUAUCUCUGGUAGUCCACGCUCUAAACGAUGUCUACUAGUUGUCGGGUCUUAAUUGACUUGGUAACGCAGCUAACGCGUGAAGUA
rnacentral:rRNA from 1 species